AACGCACAUUGCGCCCAUUAGUAUUCUAGUGGGCAUGCCUGUUCGAGCGUCAUUUCAACCCCUAAGCACAGCUUAUUGUUGGGCGUCUACGUCUGUAGUGCCUCAAAGACAUUGGCGGAGCGGCAGUAGUCCUCUGAGCGUAGUAAUUCUUUAUCUCGCUUUUGUUAGGUGCUGCCCCCCCGGCCGUAAAACCCCCAUUUUUUUCUGGUUGACCUCGGAUCAGGUAGGAAUACCCGCUGAACUUAA
rnacentral:misc_RNA from 1 species